AGUGAACGCUGGCGGUAGGCCUAACACAUGCAAGUCGAACGGCAGCACAGUAAUAGCUUGCUCUUACGGGUGGCGAGUGGCGGACGGGUGCGGAAUACAUCGGAAUCUACUUUUUCUUGGGGGAUAACGUAGGGACACUUACGCUAAUACCGCAUACGACCUACGGGUGAAAGCAUGGGAUCUUCGGACCUUGCGCGAUUGAAUGAGCCGAUGUCGGAUUAGCUAGUUGGCGGGGUAAAGGCCCACCAAGGCGACGAUCCGUAGCUGGUCUGAGAGGAUGAUCAGCCACACUGGAACUGAGACACGGUCCAGACUCCUACGGGAGGCAGCAGUGGGGAAUAUUGGACAAUGGGCGCAAGCCUGAUCCAGCCAUACCGCGUGGGUGAAGAAGGCCUUCGGGUUGUAAAGCCCUUUUGUUGGGAAAGAAAAGCAGCAGGUUAAUACCCCGCUGUUCUGACGGUACCAAAAGAAUAAGCACCGGCUAACUUCGUG
rnacentral:rRNA from 1 species